AUGGUGAAACAUUGCGUUGAAGAUCAGAAUCGUCGCCACCGCACUGGCACGCCUUACGGCGGCGGUCGCGGCGGUGUAAAGAUCAGAAUUACUAAACGAAUAUACCACCAAGCUGAAGUUGUUCAAGCGGGCUCAAGGUUACUUCAUGAUUUUGUAAUGGUUUGGUUGAUGCAGUGGCUUUUUUGGUGUAGCAAGGACAUGGUUUUGACGAGCAUUUUGGGAGCAGGCUUUAAGAAGUUUGGAUUGUUUACAUGGCAGGUUUAUGAAGCAUGGUUUAUGCAGCUUGUUGGCAAGGUUUUGAACAUGGUGUUUGCAUUGAACAUUUGGCUUGUCAUGACUUAG